rnacentral:rRNA from 1 species
AUGUUUCCGUUCAAGUUUAAGAGGAAGCAAUUUCCUAUAAGGCUUAGCUUUGCUAUGACCAUUAACAAGGCCCAAGGGCAGACAAUCCCGAUUGUUGGUGUCUACCUACCCAAUCCCAUGUUCUCUCAUGGUCAACUCUAUGUUGCUUUGUCUCGAGCCACCGCAAAGAGAAACAUAAAGAUACUCAUUCAGAAGGAGAAGCCGAAGGAGAAGUCCAACAAGCAAAAGGACAAUCCAAAUAAGCGAAAAAGACCGACCGUGUAAUUACUAACCUCGAUGAAGAACAUCGUCUACAAGGAAGUCCUUACAGGCUGA